UGCUUUUUCUAUCACUCUGCUUAUAUAAUGCCAUAAUCUGGUUGGCGAGUUUCUACCCUGAACCGUAAAUUCGGGACUAUAAGCAAAAAAGUGGUCGUA
rnacentral:ncRNA from 2 species